AAAGGUAAGGGGGUGGUCAGAGCAUCCUGGGAGGCCACCUGCGCGGCAGACCCCGAGCCCACACGCCUAAGCUCCGCACCUCACCAGCUCUGCGUUCCACCGGCCCAGGCAGUCAGCGAAAACGCACGGGCUCCAGAUUUCAAAUUCCUGAGUAAUACUAUGCAUGGGAGAAGAAGAAUCUGAAAAACAAGAAAAAUAACAGGUUUGAGAAGCCCAGCUGCAUUUAUUUCUUUUGCCUUUGAAGAAAGUUUAAGACAGAGUCCUUGGUCUGGGAGCAGAGUGACCAUUUUGUGAUCCUGAGAAUGAAAUUUAUCUAAUAAGCAUGCUGGAGGCCAGAGGUGGGAACCUGCGACAAUAAUGGAAGAGAAUAAAACAAGUCCCUUUCAAAAUAAGCAGCAAGUGGACCCAACAUGGCGGCCGGCGAGGAAGCAGCACUUUCAGUACCUUCACAGUAACGGGAUCAGAGAGACACAUUAAUACGCCUAGAUUCUACCUGCUGAGAAACAUCUAGCAAAAUUCCGCGGAAAGGAGACCUGCCAGGAAUUAAAAAGAAAGAAAUAGUGAACUGGGAACUAAAACCAGAGAUUGAGUCAGACCAGAGACAAGCCAGUCUCACCCCUCCCUUCGGACACUCUGCCAAGGAGCCAGGGGCCCGCCAUCGCAGAGAGGGGAAGUCACCAAAGUUCGACAAUGAGAUUCCUUCUCAGCGGAAUCUACUUUAGCAGGUGUGUGACUCCCACCCACACCAGAUACAAACAACCGGGAAACUUCAAAAAUCUCUCCAUGGGUGUGACCGUAAGGGCCAAGGGACUCCCGACCCCCAACUCCCCCUACCACCAGUGACGUGGGUGUGACUGUAGGGGCGGAGGCAAGCAGAGAAGACUCCCCACCCCCAACUCCCCCAACCGCCAACAGAGAGGACUUGACAGUAGGGGCAGAGGGAAACAGAGGGCACUCCUGAACCCCAACUCCUCCUACCGCCAGCGGAGGGGUCGUGAUUGUAGGGGCUGAGGGAAACAGGGGAUUCUCGACCCCCAACUCUCAUUACCACCAGUGGCGACAACCAAGGUCUUAGUCACCAGCUUCCGAGGGUGUGCCCACCAAAGGGGUCUGGAAAAAUUAAACUAUUGACUCCCAGAUCACAGCUCCACAGCACUGGGGCUUAGAUGAACGAUAGAGAGAAUGCUCAGUCGUUCGGGAAAUAGGGCACACAGUGGGGCUGAAAGUGUAACCAGAUCCUUGGGGAAUUAAACAAACAAAUUCAAAUGGCUAAGAACGAGCUUUACCAGGAGAUAGAGAUCUUAAAAAAAAUCAAACAGUAAUCUUAGAAAUGCAGGAAACU